CUGAACUGUAGAAAAGUGGGAAACUACCUAGAAAACACCCUUGUAUUUUUCUUUUGGACAACUUUAUUUUUCCAUUUCUGCUGAAGAGGAAUGCUCUCAAUUGCAAACACAUUCAUAUUGCAUAGAAGCAGUAUUACAAGAAGUGCUUGCCUUGUGUUUUGGACAAAUGCACAAACAUAUUGAUUAUGUGCAUACUUCAUACAGCGUGGAUGGUAUGAAAGCAUUUCAGAAAGCUUAGUGGUUGUUCUCUUUUAUUUAAAGAGUAUUUAUUGGUAUCAAACUUCUCAUCAUCUGCAGAGGUCACCUUUAGAGAGGCUGAUGCUGACUGAGGCAAGAGCUUUCUAAGCCCUCUGAAUAGUGGAGGACUUCUAACUACCUGGAAUGCCUCUUCUCUGUUUUCCCUUUAAAAAAUCCCUUGUAGUUACUUUCUGAAUUGCUGGCUCCUUACACCUCCAUUCAGCACCCGGAUUUCCUGCUGCUCAGAACCAGUCCUUCUGAUUUUGAAUCAGAUAUAUUUUAAACACUUGUACACAUUCUCUUCUUCAGGCGCUGAAGAUUCACAACAUUUAUAACAAUUCAACUGAUAGUUGCAGUUUGACAGGAUUCUUAUGAUGGUUAUUUAUCAGAAACUUGAGAAGAUAUGAGGUGUCACUUUUCUAGUUAGCCAAUGAAUCUGCCUAGAAUGCUCAGGUAUCUGAGAUAGUGAUAUUUCAUCAGUGAACAUUUACACAAGCAACUGAGGAAAGGGAGGUGGUGCCCUUAACAGUCUAGCUUGCUUUGCUUUCACAGUUCUAAAUAGAAGAGUGAGUAUUCUCAGCCAGUGUAACUGUAUUCAUGUGCAGUCAUCGUAAUUUUCAUACAUAUUUCCAGAAUGGUUUGGGAAACAUGGGAAACAUCCCACAAACAAUGAUCAUCUUAGUGGGUCUAGUUCAAUGACUCAUGUAAACUGCAGAUGUUUUACAUUCUCUAGCCUUUUAAAAUGACAGAUUUGUUCAUAUUCCUUAGGAUCAGCUGACUAAGUGUGCCAAACAGCAUUGUGCAAUAUUCUGCUUCUGAUAUUGGCUAGCACCACAUUUACAGUAAGGUAAGACAGCUUUAAAAUGUACUGUUUUCAUUAUUUGCAAGGAAAAAAAAAGGUUCUUUUCUCCUAGCCCUGCCAAUUAAUGUUUAAAUUAUCUAGAAGCAUGUUUAACUGCUGUAAAUUUUAUAGUUAUUAGUAUUCUUACAUCUAGUUAAUGUUAAUGUCUAACUUGGACACUUUUUAGAUACCUAACAUGAUAUUUCAGUGAAUUCUGUGAUUUAAUUGUGCAGGGUUUAAGAAGUAAUAAUCCUUGUCUCAGCUUUAAAAUGUAUUGGCUUGAUCACCUUGCAGUAUGCCUGCUUGAGUGGUUUUGUGGCAAUCUUCUUCUAUAUGAAAUACUUAUCACAAUCAUAAACACCUAAUGGAGCUGAAUACUAAUUAGUCUUCCAACUAACAGAGUUGGAAGAGCAGAGUGUCCCACUGCACUGCAUUAGUCUUUUAUUUAUAGAAACAUACUGCUGAUGAAAACAGUAGCAGGGAUAGGAAAACACUGGUUGUUCUUAAAAUGAAGCAUUUGGUAUUAUCAAAAUAAUUUUGUAUUUCCUUUUUUUCACUGCAGAAAAUGCUGUGUCAUGCUUUGUGUGGGUAGAAACCCCAUAGGACAUGUAUAUAUCUUUAGUUGCUUGUAGAGUAGGGCUUUUUGGUUACAGUUAGCUAAUCCUUGCUGUUCCUCUGGCAGAAAUGUGGCACAUCUUACUGCAGCUUAAGGUACUACUCACAUAUAAGGGCAAUUGUUAAAUGACUGCUGUUAAUAUCAUGUAUUUUAAUAACAAAUGAAAGUGUUAGUGAUCUGGUAGGCUUUCUAAAAGGCCAGAUCUUUUCUUUGGGGGUCAAAAUCCACCUGAGUUAAAAAAGAAGAGAAGGAAAAGCUACUUUUUGUCAUCAAGAGGAAGAAAAAUAGUACAGAGAAAUCAGUCACUAAUAUUUGCAAAUCCAGUUUAACCAUUUGGAAGUCAGCAAAAUCUUCCUUUCCCUCUCUACUUGUUCAAGAGGUUCAAUAGCUUUGUAAUAAAAUGCUCAUAAAGGUAUCUUGAAACAGACACAAGAAAAUUAAACCCUUAGAUUGUAAU
rnacentral:lncRNA from 1 species